rnacentral:rRNA from 1 species
CCUACGGGUGGCAGCAGUGAGGAAUAUUGGUCAAUGGACGAGAGUCUGAACCAGCCAAGUAGCGUGAAGGAUGACUGCCCUAUGGGUUGUGAACUUCUUUUAUAUGGGAGUAAAAUGUUCCACGUGUGGGAUUUUGUAUGUACCAUAUGAAUAAGGAUGGGCUAACUCCGUGCCAGCAGCCGCGGUAAUACGGAGGAUCCGAGCGUUAUCCGGAGUUAGUGGGUUGAAAGGGAGCGGAGGUGGAUUGUUAAGUCAGUUGUGAAAGUUUGCGGCUCAACCGUAAAAUUGCAGUUGAAACUGGCAGGCUUGAGUACAGUAGAGGUGGGCGGAAUUCGUGGUGUAGCGGUGAAAUGCGUAGAUAUCACGAAGAACUCCGAUGGCGAAGGCAGUUCACUGGACUGCAACUGACACUGAGGCUCGAAAGUGUGGGUAUCAAACAGGAUUAGAUACCCCUGUAGUC